rnacentral:rRNA from 1 species
UACGUAGGGUGCGAGCGUUACUCGGAAUUACUGGGCGUAAAGCGUGCGCAGGCGGUUCGUUGUGUCGGUGGUGAAAUCCCCGGGCUUAACCUGGGAACUGCAUUUGUGACUGCAUCGCUGGAGUGCGGCAGAGGGGGAUGGAAUUCCGCGUGUAGCAGUGAAAUGCGUAGAUAUGCGGAGGAACACCGAUGGCGAAGGCAAUCCCCUGGGCCUGCACUGACGCUCAUGCACGAAAGCGUGGGGAGCAAACAGG